GUUGGUGAACCAGCGGAGGGAUCAUUAUAGAGCUUAAAAACUCCUAAAACCAUUGUGAACUCAUCCUUUAUCGUUGCUUCGGCAGGCGGCCCCUCACCGGGCCUUAGCGUUCCCUCACCCGGAAAGCGCCCGCCGAAGGCACAAAACUCUUCUGUAUUUUAUGGAACUUCUGAUUAAACAAGCAAAUAAAUUAAAACUUUCAACAACGGAUCUCUUGGUUCUG
rnacentral:misc_RNA from 1 species